AUACUUACCUGUCAGGGGAGAUACCAUGACCAUGAAGGUGGAUUUCCCAGGGCAGUGAGGCUUAUCCAUUGCACUCCAGAUAUGCGGACCCCUGUGAUUUCCCCAAAUGUGAGAAAUUCGACUGCAUAAUUUGUGGUAGUGGGGGACUACAUUCGCACUCUUCCCCU